UGGGGAAUCUUCUGCAAUGAGCGCAAGCUUGACAGAGCGUCGUCACGUGAAGGAAGACAGCUUCUUAUAGUUGUAAACUUCUUUUGCUUAAAAGUGAAAAUUGACACUUAAGUAAACAAAGUAUCGGCAAACUCCGUGCCAGCAGCCGCGGUAAAACGGGGGAUACAAGCGUUAUCCGGAAUUACUGGGCGUAAAGCGUAUGUAGGUGGUUUUAAUAUAUUUUUAAAGAAAGGAAACUAUAUAUAUGUUUUUUUUAAAAAAAUUAUUAAACUAGAGUCUGUUAGGGGUAAAAGGAAUUUUUUGAGUAGUGGUGAAAUGCGAAGAUACAAAAAAGAAGACCAAAAGCGAAGGCAUUUUACUGGGGCAGUACUGACACUGAGAUACGAAAGUUAAGGUAGCGAAUGGG
rnacentral:rRNA from 1 species